CAUCUUUGAGAUAUGAACAAAUACUUCAGUAUUGACAGAGCCUAAUACCUCCUCAAAGCAU
rnacentral:tRNA from 1 species